GUGCAUUUUUUAAAAAAAAUAAUUAUAUAUGUAUAUAAAUUUAUGAAGGUUGACCAGUUGUCUCUGUGGAAUUUUUUUUUUAUGUAGGUUGACCAGUUGACCUUUUGAACUUUAUUGAGUGAAUGCAUGAAAUCACGGGGAAGGACAGACACUUCACCUACUUCUUUUUUUGGGGGGGUGGUCUUUCAUCAGUUGUCCUGAACCCCACACACAUUUAUUUAUUUAUUUAUUUGUUUUUUCACUCAUUCAUUAAUUUUGUUCAUCUAUUUCUUUUCCUGUCUUUGUCUAUGCAUUCAUUCAUUCAUUCAUUUACUUAUUUAUUUGAUGUGUACCAAUGUGCAUGUACACCUUUAUACCAGAAGAGGGCAUCACAUCCUAGGGAAUUGUCAGGAACUGCCUUGUCAACCAGCCUGCUUUGUCUUUUUCCAUUUCCUCUUUAUCGUCUUUCCUUCCUUCCUUCUUUCCUUCCUUCCUUCUUUCCUUCCUUCCUUCUUUCCUUCCUUCUGUUAAGUUUUAUUUUACUUUUAUUAUUAUUUUUUUGUUGAGGCAGAUUUCCUCUAACACUAACCCUGUGGAUUUUUUUAUUGUUUUUGAAUAUUAGGGAUAUUCAAAAUUUGUGGUUAUGCUUCCUGUGAUUUGGUCACAUGAAUUAUGAGAUGAGACUAUACCAGCUCUGCUUCUGAAUCUAUGUGUCUGUUCAUCAGUGGUGGUGGUAGUGAUGGAUUUUUUUCUUUCUCUCUUUUCUUUUUCUUUUUUUUUUUUUUUCUUUCGAGACAGGCAGGGUUUUCCUGGAUAUCCUGCUCUCUUGUUUGAAUUUUGGUUUCUAGCAGACAGGGCUUUUCUAGUCCUGAACCUGUGUAUAGCUUGUUUAUUUAUUUAUUUAUAAAUGUAUUUAUUUGUAAUAUGAGUCAAUUAUUUUCAUUUUUCCUAUCUCUCUUGCCCUGCCUGGCUAUCCUGGCAACAUCUGGCUGAGAAAAACAUGCUUGCCUCCAACUCACUCGUGCUGGGGCUAAAAGAGAUCCACCUGCCUCUGGGACUAUACACCAGCCCGCCUGUGACAUGCAAAAAAAGAAGGAACUUCAUCACCUCAACAUAAGAAGGAAGACUCCUGCUUCACUCAGGGGAUACAGGCAGGUCCUAAGAAACUGUGUGGAGGAGGAGACUGCCACUAUCUGAGGGUGAGUCAGGAUUCUGCCAAUAGCAUUUCAUUGAGAAAAUAUCCCACCUUAUAUUAUAGUUGCACCUAGGAUUAAAUGGGAGACAAGGGGAAUAUGUACUGUGGGUGUGGCUUGCCGUCAGGGGUUGAGGGUCUAACAACAGGCACCAGUCUUCAUAGAUUUUUGUCUUUGUUGUUGUUUGUUUUGAUUUUUGGCUUCUUGUGGGUUUGUUUGCUUGCUUGCUUGCUUGCUUGUUUGUUUGUUUUUGAGACUCAUUUUCUCUGUGUAGCCUUGGCUGUCCUGGAACAACUUGGUUGUGUUUGACCAGGUUGGCCUAGGACUCACUGAGAUAUGCCUGGCUCUGCCUCCCCAGUGAGCAAGCACUGGGAUUAAAGACUUGUACCACCCCUGCCUGGGAACACCAGUCAUAUGUUAAUGGAAGGGCCAUUGAGUUCCUCCCUAGGGAAGGAAGGAAUGGAGACCCUUAUCAAAUGCCUGAUCUCGGGGAAGUAUAACUUCUGGGGAGCAGACGCUUAAUGACACUGCCGUUUCUCCCCUGCUAACUCACCCAAAAGGGAAGGUUCUGACAUCUCAGUCUUCUACUAGGAUAAUGUACCAUUCUGAUUUCACUGUGUUUAUCAGUGAGCUGAAUUCUUGCCUUUAAUGGGUUCAGGCUCCCUUGGACUCUAACCCCUGUAGGCAUUUCAUCACUGCCAUCUGGCGUGUCUAGUAAAUUUCUAACAUUCCUAUUCCUGUUCAUUAGGAGGGCACAGUGGAAUUCCUGGUCCCCUGGUGUCGGGGAUUUUGUUUUUCCCACAAAGAAUUAUUUUGUUUAGAGAGCCUAGGCUAUCACUAUACACGAUUUUUGUCCUCUACCAAAGCUCACACUAAAUUUCCCAAAGGGAAAAGCAUUGAUGAUAUCAAGAACGAUUAGGAAUGAAAGUUAAAAAGGUGCUGGACAAGUGUGGUCUGCUUGCAAUGUUGAAAUGUUGGAACUUUGUCAAAUGGCAAUGGUCACCAAGUGGUGGUCCAUGCCACAUUCCUUCCUCUUGACUCAUAUGCCCUCUUUCACUGUAUACUCAAUAAUGUAAACAAGUGAAUAAAUAAAUAAAUGGAUGGAUGGAUAAAUAAAUGAAUGAAAAUUU